GGUUUUAACCCAGUAUCACAAGGUACUAAGGGUGUCUGACCUACCUACGGGUUGUGUCACAAACCUUAAUUUUUGGACCGCCUUCUCGGGGUAUCCGGGAGGGCAAA
rfam:Oesophagostomum dentatum strain OD-Hann O_dentatum-1.0_Cont23531.2, whole genome shotgun sequence.